GAUGAACGCUAGCGGGAGGCCUAACACAUGCAAGCCGAGCGGUAUUGUUUCUUCGGAAAUGAGAGAGCGGCGUACGGGUGCGGAACACGUGUGCAACCUGCCUUUAUCUGGGGGAUAGCCUUUCGAAAGGAAGAUUAAUACUCCAUAAUAUAUUGAACGGCAUCGUUUAAUAUUGAAAGCUCCGGCGGAUAGAGAUGGGCACGCGCAAGAUUAGCUAGUUGGUGAGGUAACGGCUCACCAAGGCAAUGAUCUUUAGGGGCCUGAGAGGUGAUCCCCCACACUGGUACUGAGACACGGACCAGACUCCUACGGGAGGCAGCAGUGAGGAAUAUUGGUCAAUGGGUGCAAGCCUGAACCAGCCAUCCCGCGUGAAGGACGACUGCCCUAUGGGUUGUAAACUUCUUUUGAUAGGAUAAACCUUUCCACGUGUGAAAGCUGAAGGUUACUAUACGAAUAAGCACGGCUAACUCCGU
rnacentral:rRNA from 1 species